AUUGAACGCUGGCGGCAGGCCUAACACAUGCAAGUCGAACGAGUGGCGGACGGGUGAGUAAUGUCUGGGAAACUGCCUGAUGGAGGGGGAUCACUACUGGAAACGGUAGCUAAUACCGCAUACCAUCGGAUGUGCCCAUAUGGGAUUAGCUAGUAGGUGGGGUAAAGGCUCACCUAGGCGACGAUCCCUAGCUGGUCUGAGAGGAUGACAAGCAACACUGGAACUUAGACACGGCCCAGACUCCUACGGGAGGCAGCAGUGGGGAAUAGUGCACAAUGGGCGCAAGCCGGAUGCAGCCAUGCCGCGUGUAUGAAGAAGGCCUUAGGGUUGUAAAGUACUUUCAGCGGGGAGGCGUUACCCGCAGAAGAAGCACCGGCUAACUCCGUGCCAGCAGCCGCGGUAAUAC
rnacentral:rRNA from 1 species